rnacentral:pre_miRNA from 13 species
GGUCUUUUAAUUGAGCGCUGUUCUAUGGUUAGUUUUGCAGGUUUGCAUCCAGCUGUAUGGUACUCUGCUGUGCAAAUCCAUGCAAAACUGACUGUGGCAGUGAAGUCCGUUCCAAAGCCAG